CGAUAGUAGCAAACCUGCAGGAAAACCAGGGGACAGGAGGAAUCAGGCAGCAGUGCAGUGAUUAAACAAAACUUAAACCAAUAAAUCUCAUCAAAAAACUUCUCUUUUUUUUUUCUGAAAAGUCUUGUUGUCACAAUGCAAUUAUACAUGCAACUUGGAAGCAUGAACAUGAAAUAAUAUUCAAACAACCGCAAAUUGUUAUGCCUCACACAAAAGAAAAAUGCAAUCAUUGUGCUACUAAGAAGAUUUUAAAAUAAAGCGGCCAAUAUCUCAUGCAAAUACCAGCCUAUAGAAGGGAAAAAAUUUAUGGUGCAAAGGAAGUUUGCAUAGUACAUUAAUCUACAUUCAGAAUGAAUAUCAUUCUCAACUUUAGCCAGAGGAAAAUACCAUAAUAAAAUGGAAAGGCUCGCCAAGAAAUUUAGCUGUACCUAAUUUUGUACUAGGAAGAAAAUUAAAAAUAAAAAUAAAAACCCUUAUUUCUGAAUAUUAUGACUCAAUCCAAAGGGCAAAAGAAAUUUAACCUGAAAAACUAUAGUGAAAAAAAUAACUCUGAGCUUUUCUAGAAAAACAAAAAAUUGAAAAAAAACACUAAGGGUAUCAUUGCAAGUAGAUAGGAUUAAGGCUGAACUUAUUUUUCCAAGACAUAUAUCUAAAUCGGGAACUCUAAACAAUCAGAAAUUAUAUUGCUUUUUCCUCAAAAGGUUUUUAAUACUCAAGUUCUAAUAUUACAAAGAUAUGCAUGGGAGGAAUAAGUUCACCAAGAGAGCAGGGCAUGACAUAUGCCACUCUACUUAUAAUUUCACAAUAUAAAUGGAAGAUAAUUCCUUAAAAAACUUAAACAUUCGCUUCCAAUAUUCAUUCAACUCUAAUUUCAAGUAGAAUUCCAUACAAAAUUUGAAAGGUUUUGAUCUUUCCUUUCUGUACGAAAACUACAUAUCCUUGCAUUCUUAUGGCCUAAUUUUAUUGCUUACUAUUUUUUAUGCAUAUACAAGACUUUCCAAUGCACGAAGUUGCAUAUUAACAAGAAGCGAGACAUGUAAAGAGGAGUACAGGACACAAUCAU
rnacentral:misc_RNA from 1 species